AGAGUUUGAUCAUGGCUCAGGACGAACGCUGGCGGCGUGCUUAACACAUGCAAGUCGAACGGAAAGGCCCUUCGGGGUACUCGAGUGGCGAACGGGUGAGUAACACGUGGGUGAUCUGCCCUGCACUUUGGGAUAAGCCUGGGAAACUGGGUCUAAUACCGAAUACACCUCGCUGGUUGCAUGACCUGGUGGGGGAAAGCUUUUGCGGUGUGGGAUGGGCCCGCGGCCUAUCAGCUUGUUGGUGGGGUGAUGGCCUACCAAGGCGACGACGGGUAGCCGGCCUGAGAGGGUGACCGGCCACACUGGGACUGAGAUACGGCCCAGACUCCUACGGGAGGCAGCAGUGGGGAAUAUUGCACAAUGGGCGCAAGCCUGAUGCAGCGACGCCGCGUGAGGGAUGACGGCCUUCGGGUUGUAAACCUCUUUCAGCAGGGACGAAGCGCAAGUGACGGUACCUGCAGAAGAAGGACCGGCCAACUACGUGCCAGCAGCCGCGGUAAUACGUAGGGUCCGAGCGUUGUCCGGAAUUACUGGGCGUAAAGAGCUCGUAGGUGGUUUGUCGCGUUGUUCGUGAAAACUCACAGCUCAACUGUGGGCGUGCGGGCGAUACGGGCAGACUAGAGUACUGCAGGGGAGACUGGAAUUCCUGGUGUAGCGGUGGAAUGCGCAGAUAUCAGGAGGAACACCGGUGGCGAAGGCGGGUCUCUGGGCAGUAACUGACGCUGAGGAGCGAAAGCGUGGGGAGCGAACAGGAUUAGAUACCCUAGUAGUCC
rnacentral:rRNA from 1 species